CAUAGUUAUCUGGGGAGAGGGAUGAGAACCUUCGACUAAGGUUCGAGUCGGGCAACGCGCGUCAGCGCGGCCCGCAGGGUGAAAUCAUCCUCUUGAACCCGCU
rnacentral:sRNA from 1 species